rnacentral:piRNA from 1 species
UAAAAUUGGCUAUGGUAGUGGUGGUGGGU